rnacentral:rRNA from 1 species
CCAUCUGGAAGAAUACUGGAGACAGGUGCUGCAUGGCUGUCGUCAGCUCGUGUCGUGAGAUGUUGGGUUAAGUCCCGCAACGAGCGCAACCCUUGCCUUUAGUUGCCAGCAGUUCGGCUGGGCACUCUAAAGGGACUGCCGGUGUUAAACCGGAGGAAGGUGGGGAUGACGUCAAGUCCUCAUGGCCUUUAUGACCAGGGCUACACACGUACUACAAUGGCCGAUACAAAGGGCAGCGACACUGCGAGGUGAAGCCAAUCCCGUAAAAUCGGUCUCAGUCCGGAUUGGAGUCUGCAACUCGACUCCAUGAAGUUGGAUUCGCUAGUAAUCGUGGAUCAGCAUGCCACGGUGAAUACGUUCCCGGGCCUU